rnacentral:rRNA from 1 species
CAGUAGCCGCGGUAAUACGUAGGGUGCGAGCGUUAAUCGGAAUUACUGGGCGUAAAGCGUGCGCAGGCGGUUGUGUAAGACAGGUGUGAAAUCCCCGGGCUUAACCUGGGAACUGCGCUUGUGACUGCACAGCUAGAGUAUGGCAGAGGGGGGUGGAAUUCCACGUGUAGCGGUGAAAUGCGUAGAGAUGUGGAGGAACACCGACGGCGAAGGCAGCCCCUGGGCCAAUACUGACGCUCAUGCACGAAAGCGUGGGGAGCAAACAGGAUUAGAUACCCCUGUAGUCCCUGUCUCUUAUACA